UGAUAAUGGCAUUCUCAAGACUUGGAUCUAUGCUUUUGUAGUUGAAAUC
rnacentral:sRNA from 1 species